rnacentral:snoRNA from 1 species
CCCUCCUACAAAGUCAUACCUGUUGUUUCCUGUCCUUGGACACAUAAAAAUUGAUGGCAAAGAGAUGUGGACUUGGAGAAGUCUGGAGCCAGCUUACUCCCCGCAGGCUCAAAAUCACCUUUUCCCACACAG